UCUAAGCACAAGCCCUUGAAAGGUAAGGCCGCGAAAAGCUCAUUACAACAGCUAUUGUUUAUUGGAUCUUUACAUUCUUACACGGAUAACUGCGGUAAUUCUGGAGCUACUACGUGCAUUAAACGACGACCUUACGGAAGUCGUGCAUUUGUUAGACCAAACCAAUCGGUCUUCGGACCGUCAUUUGGUGAACUCUGAAUAACUUUGCUGAUCGCACAGUCUCGUACUGGCGACAAAUCCUACAAGUAUCUGCCUUAUCAACUUUCGAUGGUAGUUUAUACGACUACCAUGGUUGUAACGGGUAACGGAGAAUAAGGGUUCGACUCCGGAGAGGGAGCCUGAGAAACGGCUACCACA
rnacentral:rRNA from 1 species